rnacentral:snoRNA from 1 species
AUCUUUCAAAUUCCUUACCCCUCAGAUCUAAACAUUGGUGUGAAUGACUGAAAAAGGAGGAAGAGUAAAACUGAAGUGACCUGACAUAAAAGUUUAAUUCAAACAUAU